rnacentral:rRNA from 1 species
AACCUUUAGCUAAACAAGCAUUAAAGGCAGCACCUGCCCAGUGAACAAUUAAACGGCCGCGGUACCCUAACCGUGCAAAGGUAGCGUAAUCACUUGUCUAUUAAUUGUAGACCCGUAUGAAAGGUAGAAUGAGGGCCCAACUGUCUCUUAUAAUAAAUCAAUUAAACUGAUCUCCCAGUACAAAAGCUGGAAUAUAAUCAUAAGACCAGAAGACCCUGUGAAGCUUAAACUAACAUAUUAAACCUCAUAAUAUCUACUUUCGGUUGGGGCGACCUUGGAAAAAAAAAGAACUUCCAAUAAUAUGACCAUACAUCAUGCACAGGCCAACAAGCCUACAUAGACCCAGUAUAACUGAUAAUCGAACCAAGUUACUCCAGGGAUAACAGCGCCAUCUUCUUCAAGAGCCCAUAUCAAAAAGAAGGUUUACGACCUCGAUGUUGGAUCAGGACAUCCUAAUGGUGCAGCAGCUAUUAAGGGUUCGUUUGUUCAACGAUUAACAGUCCU